GAAGGCGACUUACUGGCCAAUAACUGACGCUGAGGCGCGAAAGCGUGGGGAGCAAACAGGAUUAGAUACCCUGGUAGUCCACGCCGUAAACGAUGAGUACUAGGUGUCGGUUGUUUCGAAACAAUCGGUGCCGGAGUAAACACAAUAAGUACUCCGCCUGGGGAGUACGGUCGCAAGACUGAAACUCAAAGGAAUUGACGGGGGCCCGCACAAGCGGUGGAGCAUGUGGUUUAAUUCGACGCAACGCGAAGAACCUUACCAAGACUUGACAUCCUCUUGAUUGGAUAUGUAAUGUAUCCUUUUCUUCGGAACAAGAGAGACAGGUGGUGCAUGGUUGUCGUCAGCUCGUGUCGUGAGAUGUUGGGUUAAGUCCCGCAACGAGCGCAACCCUUGUUGUUAGUUGCCAUCAUUAAGUUGGGCACUCUAACAAGACUGCCGGUGACAAACCGGAGGAAGGUGGGGAUGACGUCAAAUCAUCAUGCCCCUUAUGUCUUGGGCUACACACGUGCUACAAUGGUCGGUACAGAGGGCAGCAAGAGAGUGAUCUUGAGCGAAUCUCAAAAAGCCGAUCCCAGUUCGGAUUGUAGGCUGCAACUCGCCUACAUGAAGUCGGAAUCGCUAGUAAUCGCAGGUCAGCAUACUGCGGUGAAUACGUUCCCGGGCCUUGUACACACCGCCCGUCACACCACGAAAGUUGGUAACACCCGAAGUCGGUGAUCUAACCUGCAAAGGAGGAAGCCGCCCACGGUGGGAUCGAUGAUUGGGGUGAAGUCGUAACAAGGUAGCCGUAUCGGAAGG
rnacentral:rRNA from 1 species